GACAUCCCUAUUUUCAUCGGAGAAAUGUUGGAGGGUAUGGAGUUCUGCGACCCCUGAGUCAAGGAGAUAAGUAAGUAUACAACCUUUCGAAGACAUCUGAAGGCAGCCCUGUAUGUUUUUAUAUAUGUUGGAAGCCAUCCAGAGCGGCUGAGGCAACCCAGUCAGGUGGGCAGGGUAUUAUUAUUAUUAUUAUUAUUAUUAUUAUUAAAUAACAGUUCCCUAUUUUCAUUGGAGAAAUGUUGGAGGGUAUGAGAUAGAGAAAAAAGUUAUUUCCUUAUCGCAUAAUACUAGAAACUGGGGUCGUACGGUGAAGCCAGAUGUUGAAAGAUUUGGAGCAGGAAAAAAAGGAAGCAUUUUUUCCUGCAUGGCUACCAAGAUGGAUGUCUUCAGGUGGGGAGGGGUGUUAAUUUGUCUAAUUAAUUUGUCUAAUUAAUGGAGGUUAAUUAUCAGUACUAGCUUACUAGCUACUAGACACAAUGGCUGUGUUCUACCUCCAUAGAGUCCUCCCCACCCUUGCAAGCCUGGCCUCAUGAGGAAGCUAGCCAGACUUAUUUCCAGCUCUUGCUGAAUUCAUGAGUUUAUGAGUUUGCUCAAAUUCUACUCCUUCACUUUAUGUGGAGAUUAUAGGGGUCUCCCACCCCUGCCCCCAAACUGGGCUCCUUCCUGAGAUAGUUGGGUAUCCUCACUGUUAAUUUUAUGCAUUUAGGAUAACCUUCCAGGAGUGUCAAGAAUCCAUCAUCCAUAUUUGGAUGCAAGCACAUUCAUUUCCACUGGGUAGAAGGCAGCUUUAUGCCUUGACAUGCAAUUAAAAGCAUUCCAUGGAACAAAACGAUAAAGUGUAGAAGAAUAUGAAAUACAUGUAAAAGAUCAGUUGUUAAUAUCCGAGUUGACAGAAGAGACAUUAAUCUAGUGUUUCCCUCACAGAUUUUGGAAAUCGCUCAGUACAACAAACGUAAUGUUCAUUUUCUGUUUAUCAUAUAAAUGCCAUAUGAUUCAUCAGCCUUCUAUUCCUAGAGGCAGAGCUCUUGAUGCGCCGUGAGGUGUUUCUGGAGCAAUUACAACCGUAGGUUAGCAAUCAGCCCACAUUUGCCUCCGACACAAAAGUAUGGCUCGUGUGAAGAACUCCCCAAGUAGACUUUGACAUAAACACAGAUGUAGAUUCCAAAAAUAAGAAGACCAGAACAUCUAACUCAUUCUUAUUUUACUUUGGUAAAAUAAUUUAGCAAACUGAAAUCUCAAUUCAUGACAAGCUGGAGACACUUCCAAAAUAUAGCUACUGAGGUCAUUCACUGCGUGAACUGAACUUUUUUUAAAAAAAAUAUCUUAUUGGUGACUGUAAGCCAGCACAAUGCCACCUAGAUGUUAUGAAGUACCACCUCCAUCAUCCAUUGGCCGUGCUGGUUGGGGUUGAUGGGAGUCCAACAAUGUCUAGAAGCCACCAUGUUGGACACCUGCUGUAGGCUUAGGUGGGCCAAUUAAGAUAUCAAAUAUUUCAAAACUGCUUUUGAUUAUGCGGUUUUCCCAUUCAAACAGAACUCUCAUUCUGCAAUGUUACAGAGACAUUACAUCGGUGAAAAGGUGCACCUGUUGUCUGCAAACAGCUCAUUUUAAACACAAACAAAUGUUGGAUCUGUGCUUUCAAUCCAGCCGUGGCAGGUAUGGGAACCUUUGCCCCUUCAGUUGUUGCUGAACUACAACUCCCAUCAUCCUCGGCCAUUAGCUAAGCUAUGCUUGUGGGGGCUGAUGGGAAUUGUAGUUCGGCAGCCUCUGGAGGUCCAAAGGUUUCCCCCAGCUGCCUUAUGGCAAUGAAUUUCAUAGUUUAACUAUGUUGGAAGAUGUAAAAAGUCCAACAUACUUUUUCUUCUGAAGUGGGGGUUCUUAGCCAGCCAGCCUACUGAAACUUUGAAGGGAAAAAUCUUUAAACUCCAUUAAAUAAUACAGUUUCAUAGCAGGGAUUUCUCUUGGGAAGGGCAGUCUUCUGUUCAACUGCCACGUUAUGACAAGCAUGACAGAGCUGAUAGCAAUCUAUUCCAAUUCAUGACAUUGUUUAAAUUAGGUCAGAUGGAGAAUAUGUGCAGGCCUUCCAAGAAGAACUCCCAGGAGUCUGAGCACUUUUGCUAAUGGCAGUGAAUCAGGAUUUCUUUCCAGCCUCAUCUAAGGAGUCAUAAACUGUGUUAACAUGUCAUGUUACGUAUGUAACACAUUGCUCAGCAGCAAGAAAACCAGCGUCUUCUUCUUCUUUGCAUGUAUUAUACAGCCCAGACGGGCAAUUGGAAUGCAUAUCUUUCUCCUUGGAGUGAAUCACUUGACUGACCCUAGAGCUUUAAAAGCUAAGUGACUUAUUUCUGUUUCCCCAGUCUUAUUAUUCAAAGGAGAAUGCAUGUGGCCUUUUCAGAGCCUUGUUUAUUUGCAAAACACAAAAUGAAUUACCUUGUGCUUUAAAUUGGAGAAAUGAGGACCUUUAUCCAACAAGGACCUCCCCCCCUCUCCCAACAAUGUAAUUAUCUAAAAAGGCCCCUGUGAAUGGAUUCCGGAGCUGUAAGGAUGAGUUAGUCUAAUAUAAUGAAAACAGGAAAGAAUAUGUUUGGCACCAGAGCAGUGUUCCUAACACUGAGGUAUUAAAGAAAGGAGAAGCAUGGUGAGAUACUACAUGAAUCAGCGGGAUCUAGUAAGCAUUUGAUAAGCCCCUGUGUGUAGCCACUACAAGGAAGAUGCAUUUCUUAAUCAUCUUCUACAUGGCUUCAGUAACGGGCAGUUCUAAGCCAUAUUAAUUUACAGAUUAGUACCAGAACCCAGUGAAGCAAUCUGCAUUUACAGGUGAAGAAGCAAGGAGACAUGCAGAGUUUGGGAUAAUGCUUUUACUUCAGGAAAAUGCAUGGACAAAGAGAGAAAUUGCUUUGCGAGCUGGACCUUUUCUCUCUUCAUCACUAGGAAUUCCUACACUAUUAUUAUUAUUAUUAUUAUUAUUAUUAUUAUUACUUGAAUUUAUGUACCGCCCUAUACCUGGAGGUCUCAGGUUCACAGAACAACUAGCAGCCGCCACCCCUGUGUGUGUGUGUGUGUGUGCGUGUUCCAGCAAGUAGCACUAUCUAAUGUUGGUUUGCUGAAGUGUGAGCAGUGCUUCCUUUUAAGGGAAGAAACAUAACUCUAUGGUACAUCACAUGUUUUUUGUCCAUAAAGUCUCUUGUUCAAUCCCUGACAUCUCCAGAUAGGCCUCAAAAAGACUCCUGUCUGAAACUGCAGAGUUGGCAUAUACCAAUAUUUCCCAAACUUGGUUCUCCAGUCGUUUUUGGACUUCAAUUCCCAUCAUCCCUGGCCACUGGUCCUGCUAGCUAGGAAUACUGAGAGUUGUAGUCCAAAGACCUUGGAUUGAUUCAGCAGAAACACCAGAGUGUGAGGAGAUGCUGCGAACUUAUAGAGGGGAAUCAUAGACAUAAAAUCCACACACAAACACAUCAUUGCUUGUUUUAACUCGCUUGUGGGAACAACUCAGAGACUGUGAAAGGUUAACAGCAGAGGAACCAUCGGAAGUGACUAUGAAAAGCAGUAGAAGUAUGAGAUGAUCAGAACCCUCCAAACCUGAAGCAUGGAAAGUCCUAUUUAAAAAAUUAUAGUUUGGCAGAAUAUUCGGAUUAUUUGAUAUGUAUAUGUAUAAUUUGGAAUAUUUAAUGUGAUUUGAUUGGAUUGUUCAAGUGGAAAAUUUAAUAAAAAUUAUUUUUUUAAAAAAGAGAGAGAGAGAGUUGUAGUCCAAAAACAGCUGGAGACCCAAGUUUGGGAAACCCUAGCGUAGACCAUGGAUAAGGAACCUGUGGCCUUCCAGAUGUUGCUGGACUGCUUCUAUCAUGCCUGACCAUUGGCCAUGGUCUGCAGAGGAUGAUGGGAAUGGUAGUCCAACAGGCUCCCCAUCCCUGGGGCAGGCAAUACAGAGUGUAAUGGAGCAAUGGUCUUUCUCAGCAUAAGGCAGUUCCUUCUGUUCCUGCUUCUUCCUUUUGAUGGGGAAAACAAAGCAUGCACAUGUGUACUACUUUGCUAGAUCUUGGCCUAGGAAUACGAAAUUGUAGCAUGAUGGAUUUAGUAGAACAUAGCAUAUGAUGAUGGUGUGUCUUAAUAAGUCACCAUUAGAAUAAGGGCUAGUAUAACCAAUAUUUCUGUGAUGCACGCUUUGUCCCACACCCAAGAUUGGGAACAUGGUUGCAAAUGCUAACUGCAAACUACACGGGGCUAUUGCAGUCUUUCUAAUAAUAAGGGUGCUUUCUUUUCUUUCUCAGCAAUAGUAAUAAAAAGUCCAGGAGCAGGAGAUUGCAUCGUCCCAGAGGAAACAGCCACCGAUUUUGUUCUGCCCUAUUUUGUGAAAUCUUCUUGCUUAAGGCUGUUGUUGUGCCGGCUCAUUGCGAAGAGAAUUACACCUUCUCUUUGCCAACCGUAAAAGAGAAAGGAAAAGCAGGGCUUCUCGACGUGGGCAGGAAAGGAAGAAAAAUGUCCCCCUACGACACCUGGGG
rnacentral:lncRNA from 1 species